CAGUCCAGGGCUCACUCCAGAAGCCUGGAUAAGCGCACGGGGCCUCUGGAGGCAGUGGAAGCUAGAAGACGCAGGGGACUCAGGGAUGGGGAAGGCAGGACCAGGCCCCCGGGACAGGGCCUCCCCAGACCGCGGCCCUGGAAGUUCUUGCAGUCAUCCAACCUGAUUCCCUACAACGCAGUCCAAGGGGAGAAGGAGCUUUUCUUCCUCUCCGUCCCUCCGGGCACCAGCCAGGUCUGGACCCAGGCGCCUCUGGCCUGGUGCCCACUCUUCCCCACUCCUGCUGCUCGCACUGGCUCUGACCCUGCCCCUCCCACGCUCAGCAGAGAGACCCAGCCCUCCCUCGUCCGGGGGUCCGGGCUGCCCAGAGUCUCCCCACAGCUCCCCUGCUGCCCGUGGAAUUCACGGCAGGACUCCCACAGGGUGUCAACCCACCCAUUCCAGCAACCAGACCCCUGCUGCUCUCCACCUGCCCCUGCCCGGGCCACGCUGGCCCCGUACGCUCUCCAGAGAGGCCGUGCGGUGUCAGCCUCCUGGCUUUGCUCAGCUGCCCCUCCCCUCCACUUCCAGACAGGAAGCAAACCCUAUCUGUCCCUCAAGCACCAGCUCAAAGGCAGCCAGGACUCCUCUCAAGCAGGCCCAUCUCCUGCCUGCCGCGCCAGGGACGGAAGGCUGUGGCCGGAUGACCAACCAGACCGGCCGCGCCAGCCCCGCCGCCACCAAGAGAGGAUCCAGAGUCUCCCCGCCCCCACUCGGAGCCGCCGUGAAAAUAUUCCGUGGCGCACUAGCGCCCCCAGCUGACCAUUGUGGGACAGGCAGGGCGCAGGGACCCAAUCCAGGCACCAGGCCAGAAGGAGGAGUCCUGCGUGCCCCAGGAUCCCUGCCCACCCACCAUUCCUCGACCUCCCUGAGCGCCCAGGGUCAAGUCGGAGGGGGUGAGCCAGGAGCAGAGAAGAGUUUCAGAAAAGGAGGCAUGGAUACAUAGAGAAGGAGAAGGUGAUAUGAAGGCAGAAGCAGAGGUCGAAGCGAUGCAACCAGAAGCCAGCUGUUAUUGUUAUUAUACUGAUGCACAGAGAGGUUAAGUGAUUUGCCCAGGGUCACACAGCUUCUGAGUGUUGGAGCUGAGAUCAGUAGCCAGGUUCCUGCCCACACCCUGAACCAUUACAGGAGCCUCUCCCAUCAGCUAAGUGCUCGCUGCUUUGCUUCUCUCACAACACUGCUCUGUUUCCUUCUUUCUGAGGACAGCCUUGUAACCAACGCCUUUCUGCCCCAGCUGCUGGGAAAAUCGAGUCAACACUAACACCCAAGUACAGCACUGGGACUACCCUCCGUAGUCCCACCAGCUUUGUUUUCUUCCCAAUUAAGGGGCCCUAGUUUUCUAUUUUAUCAUUAAUGAUAGCCUGCUUCUUUCUAGAGAGAAUGCGGAAGGCAGUAUGUAUUAAAGACGUAGCAGUAAGACCAACACAGAGAACUAAAAUGCUGGGCCCACAGGAAACAGCGAUUGUACAAGGCUGACUGAGUGGCCACAGAUGCUGUGAUUAAGCGUCCGGGCAGCCAGGGCAGAAGAGGAAAGCUGAUCUGUUACUAUCUGCAGGAAGCAGGCUCCUUUCUCAGUGGGAACAGUGUUUUUCCCUUAUAAUAAACUCAAGUGAAAGUUGCUCACAUGGUCCUUGGUAAAGGGAACGCUGAGUGAUGUGAUCCACUGACUACGUCUUGAAAAACUAUUUUUGCCACAAAAGGAAAGUGUAUUUCGUGUGACUCUUGGCCAACGUCAAGGGCACCGCACUGAGCCACACUCAGGGAGGGAGAGUCAUCCAGGAGAGAGACCAGCA